UACGUAGGGUGCGAGCGUUAAUCGGAAUUACUGGGCGUAAAGCGUGCGCAGGCGGUUUUGCAGGCCGGAUGUGAAAUCCCCGAGCUCAACCUGGGAAUGGCAUUCGGGACUGCAAGGCUGGAGUGCGGCAGAGGAGACUGGAAUUCCUGGUGUAGCAGUGAAAUGCGUAGAUAUCAGGAGGAACACCGGUGGCGAAGGCGGCCUACUGGGCCAGCACUGACGCUGAGGCGCGAAAGCUCGGGGAGCGAACGGG
rnacentral:rRNA from 1 species